GGAGGGUCCGAGCGUUUAAUCGGAAUUACUGGGCGUAAAGCGUACGUAGGUGGCUUGAUUAGUCGGAUGUGAAAGCCCUGGGCUCAACCUGGGAACUGCAUUCGAUACUGUCAGGCUAGAGUAUAGUAGAGGCAAGUGGAAUUCCGGGUGUAGCGGUGAAAUGCGUAGAUAUCCGGAGGAACACCAGUGGCGAAGGCGGCUUGCUGGACUAAUACUGACACUGAGGUACGAAAGCGUGGGGAGCAAACAGGGAUUAGAUACCCUGGUAGUCCACGCCCUAAACGAUGUCAACUAGCCCGUUGGAGGAAUUUAAUCCUUUAGUAGCGCAGCUAACGCGAUAAGUUGACCGCCUGGGGAGUACGGUCGCAAGAUUA
rnacentral:rRNA from 1 species